UACGAAGGGGGCUAGCGUUGCUCGGAAUCACUGGGCGUAAAGCGCACGUAGGCGGCUUGUUAAGUCAGGGGUGAAAUCCUGGAGCUCAACUCCAGAACUGCCUUUGAUACUGAGGGCCUUGAGACCGGAAGAGGUCGGCGGAACUGCGAGUGUAGAGGUGAAAUUCGUAGAUAUUCGCAAGAACACCAGUGGCGAAGGCGGCCGACUGGUCCGGUUCUGACGCUGAGGCGCGAAAGCGUGGGGAGCAAACAGG
rnacentral:rRNA from 1 species